CUUUCAUGCAUUAUAAAGUACAAGUUGUUUUCUUAUCAAGAUUACUAUGUUUCCGCAUAGGUCUACUGGUAAAAAUUUAUACAAUUUGUUUCUCAAAAGCGUUAAUACCACUGCGAAAUUUAUCAAUGGUUUUAAUGACGGACGACUAAAGCUGAUCAUUUCGAUGCUAUAUAUAACAGAGGUUUCAUAUUAUGUGAAAUGAUGUGUGCCCAUCGAGAGGUUCAUAUUAUAAUGGAUACUUUGCGUGUACUAUUCUUUGUGACGCUAGCCUCCCAUGUGACUUCGCAAACAGAGGCUGGGCUGAGACCAGUUCCUCCGAUCUGCCAACCUAUGGAGUCCUGUCUAGACUCGGUUAGCAUGCAUUGUAAGCCAGGAUGCAGUAGUAUUUUAUUUACAGAGGGGAUUCGUCCGAAACCCCCCACCACCCGGAUCCGCGGUAGCCGAUCAUUUC